rnacentral:lncRNA from 1 species
UUCACCCUCUUGAUCUGCUUUCUGUUCUCGUAGCAAAUAAAGUUUACCACUAAGAUUGCUUCCCGUUUCCAUGGCUUGCAUCCACGCACCGUGCGCUCGCCACCGAUCUGUAAAUGUGGAGGAGCGAAGGCAAGAGAAUGCACUCUAAAGGUCAGUAUCAGAGGCCAGAAUGUCCAGAAGAAGUCUAAAUUGUAACUUUUCAUCCAAUUCAAAAGCCACGCCAUUACUCGAGAAAACUUCUUCUGUGUUGGACGGCUCAAAAACAUCAGUGUUUCAUUCUCCACAGCACGCUCAGCUCAGCAACGCAACCGUGUGCGUCUUAUAAACACUAACACGACGAGCAAGGAGAGAUAUCAAGAGAACCGUGAACAAAAAAAGAUGCUACCCUGAGAAAGCAUCCGAAAGUGACUGGGAUAUGCUGCAAAUGGAAUUAAAAUGAAUACUGAUGUAGUGUAUCGCUUUUGGAACAUUCUACGAAGGCUUGUAUGAAAACUGAAAAUACAAAAUGGUUUCAAGGAACACAUUUGUACUGCAGGCUGACACUUCAACAGGCUUUUACAAGGGCUUAUCUAAAUGGUAGGCAUUAAAAACCCAGGUAAACAAGACGAAACUUGCUGCAAAACACGCUGGAAUGAGGAUUUUAAACAUUUUCUUAUUAUCCGUCUUUGUCUGGUUGGCC